CAAACGGCCCUUUUCAGGGCCAACAAUUUUGACACGUUUAACAAGU
rfam:Pediculus humanus corporis strain TSDA 1103172085537, whole genome shotgun sequence.